AUUUUUGAGGAAAUUAGAAUGUUGUGCCCUAACGCAUUGGGUGUGACAUUUUCUUUCUCCGAAAUGAUAAGGGUAUUAAUAAGUAACGUUUUUAAGUUUUUGCUAAGGAUUAUAUUUUUCAGAUUUUCGACAUUAAGACACUAAUUAAUUAAUUAGGUAUCAAUUUUAGGCGUUACGAGGGUGCUAAUCCUUCCUCGUACGUAACUGACUCUUGGAUCCGUUUUUCUAAAACUCGUAGACCAAAG
rnacentral:lncRNA from 1 species